rnacentral:rRNA from 1 species
UACGUAGGGUGCGAGCGUUGUCCGGAAUUAUUGGGCGUAAAGAGCUCGUAGGCGGCUUGUCACGUCGGUUGUGAAAGCCCGGGGCUUAACCCCGGGUCUGCAGUCGAUACGGGCUGGCUAGAGGUAGGUAGGGGAGAACGGAAUUCCUGGUGUAGCGGUGAAAUGCGCAGAUAUCAGGAGGAACACCGGUGGCGAAGGCGGUUCUCUGGGCCUUACCUGACGCUGAGGAGCGAAAGCGUGGGGAGCGAACAGG